UCACGACCUACUCAUAGUCAAGGUCAGUGAUCUACCUCGUCUGCAUCUUCAGACGCAUAUCCUUCAAUCGAGUAGC
rnacentral:rRNA from 1 species